CCUACGGGUGGCAGCAGUGGGGAAUAUUGCACAAUGGGGGAAACCCUGAUGCAGCGACGCCGCGUGAGUGAAGAAGUAUUUCGGUAUGUAAAGCUCUAUCAGCAGGGAAGAAAAUGACGGUACCUGAUUAAGAAGCCCCGGCUAACUACGUGCCAGCAGCCGCGGUUAUACGUAGGGGGCAAGCGUUAUCCGGAUUUACUGGGUGUAAAGGGAGCGUAGGCGGGAGCACAAGUCUGGAGGGCAAUGCCUGGGCUUAACCCCGGAACUGCUUUGGAAACUGUGCAGCUAGAGUGCAGGAGAGGUAAGUGGAAUGCGUGGUGUAGCGGUGAAAUGCGUAGAUAUUAGGCGGAACACCAGUGGCGAAGGCGGCUUACUGGACUGUAACUGACGUUGAGGCUCGAAAGCGUGGGGAGCGAACAGGAUUAGAUACCCGGGUAGUC
rnacentral:rRNA from 1 species